rnacentral:rRNA from 1 species
AUUGAACGCUGGCGGCAUGCCUUACACAUGCAAGUCGAACGGUAACAGGUCUUCGGAUGCUGACGAGUGGCGAACGGGUGAGUAAUACAUCGGAACGUGCCCGAGAGUGGGGAUAACGAGGCGAAAGCUUUGCUAAUACCGCAUACGAUCUCAGGAUGAAAGCAGGGGACCGCAGGGCCUUGCGCUCACGUAGCGGCCGAUGGCAGAUUAGGUAGUUGGUGGGAUAAAAGCUUACCAAGCCGACGAUCUGUAGCUGGUCUGAGAGGACGACCAGCCACACUGGGACUGAGACACGGCCCAGACUCCUACGGGAGGCAGCAGUGGGGAAUUUUGGACAAUGGGCGCAAGCCUGAUCCAGCCAUGCCGCGUGCAGGAUGAAGGCCUUCGGGUUGUAAACUGCUUUUGUACGGAACGAAAAGACUCUGGUUAAUACCUGGGGUCCAUGACGGUACCGUAAGAAUAAGCACCGGCUAACUACGUGCCAGCAGCCGCCGUAAAAC